UUGCAGUUAAAAAGCUCGUAGUCGGAUUUCAUGCAGAGAAGUAUAUUUGGCCCUUUGGGUUACAAAGAAACCAUCUCUGCAUUCUUUUGCUGUUACUGCGUUCUCUCACUUUAUUGUGCGAAGCGUAUGUUCGGCAUCUUUUACUUUGAGAAAAUUAGAGUGUUCAAAGCAGACAUUUUUGUCUUGAAUAUUACUCAUGGAAUAAUAAUAUAUGACUUCGGUCUUCCUUUGUUGGUGUUUGUAGGCUGGAGUAAUGAUUGAUAGGGACAGUUGGGGUCAUUAGUACUUCUUAGCGAGAGGUGAAAUUCUUAGACCUUAGAAAGACUAACUACUGCGAAAGCAUUUGACAAGGAUGUUCCCGUUGAUCAAGAACGAAAGUUGAGGGAUCGAAGACGGUCAGAUACCGUCGUAGUCUCAACCAUAAACUAUGCCAGCUAGGGAUUGGGAGAGGCCUAAUUUUACAAAGACUCUCUCAGCACCUUAUGAGAAAUCAAAGCAUUUGGGUUCCGGGGGGAGUAUGGUCGCAAGGCUGAAACUUAAAGGAAUUGACGGGAGGGCACCA
rnacentral:rRNA from 1 species